UAUCCGGAUUUAUUGGGCGUAAAGGGCUCGUAGGCGGCUCGUCGCGUCCGGUGUGAAAGUCCAUCGCUUAACGGUGGAUCUGCGCCGGGUACGGGCGGGCUGGAGUGCGGUAGGGGAGACUGGAAUUCCCGGUGUAACGGUGGAAUGUGUAGAUAUCGGGAAGAACACCGAUGGCGAAGGCAGGUCUCUGGGCCGUCACUGACGCUGAGGAGCGAAAGCGUGGGGAGCGAACAGGAUUAGAUACCCUGGUAGUCCACGCCGUAAACGGUGGACGCUGGAUGUGGGGCACGUUCCACGUGUUCCGUGUCGGAGCUAACGCGUUAAGCGUCCCGCCUGGGGAGUACGGCCGCAAGGCUAAAACUCAAAGAAAUUGACGGGGGCCCGCACAAGCGGCGGAGCAUGCGGAUUACUUCGAUGCAACGCGAAGAACCUUACCUGGGCUUGA
rnacentral:rRNA from 1 species